rnacentral:rRNA from 1 species
AGCGAACGCUGGCGGCAGGCCUAACACAUGCAAGUCGAACGAACCUUUCGGGGUUAGUGGCGGACGGGUGAGUAACACGUGGGAACGUGCCUUUAGGUUCGGAAUAACUCAGGGAAACUAGUGCUAAUACCGAAUGUGCCCUUCGGGGGAAAGAUUUAUCGCCUUUAGAGCGGCCCGCGUCUGAUUAGCUAGUUGGUUGAGGUAAUGGCUCACCAAGGCGACGAUCAGUAGCUGGUCUGAGAGGAUGAUCAGCCACAUUGGGACUGAGACACGGCCCAAACUCCUACGGGAGGCAGCAGUGGGGAAUCUUGCGCAAUGGGCGAAAGCCUGACGCAGCCAUGCCGCGUGAAUGAUGAAGGUCUUAGGAUUGUAAAAUUCUUUCAACGGGGACGAUAAUGACGGUACCCGGAGAAGAAGCCCCGGCUAACUUCGUG